CAGAGAGCAGUGAUUGGUCAGACCACAGAUAAUAUAGAAGACAGCGCGCUAGCGUAUCUAGUCUAUGUAUAUCUAUGGUCGGCACGUCUGGUAGCAUCUCUGGCUGCUGUUGACCUUGUUUUUUGGAGUAAAACACGGUGGAAGCUGAAUUAGUGAGGAUGACUCCUGCUCCUGUCAUCUCUAAGCUCCUCACACAUCUUUACCUGCACAUGAGGAAAAUCACUCCUGUAGAAUGCAGUGGUUCAUCAGAACCUCUGGGGAUGUCCUGUGGAUUCUGUGGAUCCUGUGGGUUGCAGGGUGGGUCCUACCUAGACCAGGCUGAUCCUGGACCAUCCCACAGAUGCUCCAUCAGAUCUGGAUGUGGGGAGUGUGGAACCCAGAUGUUCAGAGGGAGAUGAUGCCACAUCUGGUCCAGCUGAUGGAAGGUCUUGAAGUUCUCUGACUGGCCUCGACUGAAGAUGGUCGUCUCACUGGAUUUAAGGUUCAGAUGCUCAGUAACAAACUCCACCAAUGUGCCAACAGGGAAGCUUUAGGUUUAUUAAAUGUUGCUAUGAAGGUUUCACUGUUUUUCUUUGUGAAUGCAAUGUGCUCCAACUGAAACUUGAAUUAGAAAUUAGAAGUAAAUCCUUCCAGAUGAAAACUGUGAUGGUGUUGGAUUGUCAGACCGUAAUGUUGCAGCUCAAAGCAGCUUUUCUAUCUCAGUUCAUUCUGACAUUCAGCUAUGAAUCAACACAGCAGAUGGUGAUCCAUGCUGUGGAAGUCUCACAUCUCCUGAUUUAAUGGAGCUGCUUUGCACUUUUUACACUGUUUAUUCACCAACACUUUAUUUAAUAAAAGUCCCAUCUAGUUUUUAUGAGGAAUGUGAUGUUUUAAUUUCUCUGUGAAUAACUGCAGUCUAAUGCAACAGCUGGAGUUGUAACAUCUGUCCUGAUAUUGAUCAUGAAGUAUUGAUCAGAAUACUUAUGGUUAGCAGUCAUCCCUGAAGUUUUACAUUAAAAUCUUUACUUGUGUUGUGAACUUUGGUAAGAAGCAGAAACAUUAGCGUUGCCAUGGAUACAUGAGUGUUAAAUUCUGUCCAUGUUUCCAUUUUGGGAAAUGCAGUCCAGUUCCAGAAUGUGGAGGAAUUUAGGGUGCUUUCACACCUACGUCUUUUAGUCCGCUUAAAGCGGACUGGAGUCCGCAACACCUGCAAGUACGGUUCGUUUGGGCUGAUGUGAAAGCAUACCAGAUUUUUUUUGUUUCGGACUAACGAACCGCACCGAGACCACCUUCGGGAGGUGGUCUCGGUCCGCUUCUAUGUGAACUCCAGUUCGGUUCGCUCCUGGUGAGAACACAAACCUGUCUCCAUUCGGACCACUUGAUGGCGCAGCAGACUUUUUGGUCUACGGGAGCUUCCGUAGCAACCUGCACGGGGAAUUUUACGCCAAUCAGCGUACACCUACGUCAUCGUAAACGCCUUGUUUUGUAAACAGUGCCGCCAAACGACUGGGGGGAGAUAUAACAUUAAUUGGAGUAGGUUCACCUGCGAAAACACUGGUGUGAAUGCGAACCGAACCAGUUGAAAAUAGCAACAUUGUAACAACUUUUGGGUCCAAACGAACCACUUUAGCGGACGAACAGGUGUGAAAGCACCCUUAGUCUCACAAUCACAGACAACAAAUAUUAUCUGAAAGUCGGGUUAUUGUUGUUUAUCAGCACAAUACAAAAAGAUUAAUGUUAGAAAUAUUCCAGUUAAGACUCUAGAAUAUCAUGAUUUAUGUAAAUUUACCUCAAUAAUAUGAAUGUUCAGGUUAAGAUUGUACAGUGAUAUUUAUUAUGUAAGUUUAGCUGAUUAAAGUUUAUGACUCUGAACUAAAAUAUUGUUUAAAUUGACAUCAUUAUUAUAAUAUUUAGGGUCAGACCCUACAGUAUUGAGAUUAAGAAAUCAAAUAUUCUAUAAAAUGUAAAUAAACUGAACUCAUAUGGAUAUAUUUAAGUGAGACUCUACAAUAUUAUUUGACACAAAUCUAUCUAAAUCUAAAUUUUAAUCAUUUUUACUCCAAACAUUUACUGGACUGAUUUAAAUAUUAAAAUCACUCCUUUCUAAUCCUCUGCUGUACGUUCAAACCUGAGGCCUUAAAUAGAAACACACAAGUAUCUGAUUGAAGGAACAUCUGCAGAGUCCUGGUUCCAAAACAUGAUGAUAGAAUUAUAGACAAACUUUAACAAAAGCUGCCUGACAGUUUACAGGUUUUUAUGUUGGAUUUCUUCAGUAAUUUAAUGAGUUAUCAGCAAAAAUCAAGUGUUCAUUUGAUGAACUUGAUUUCCUAAAACAUCCAGAAUUGGAGCUCAUAUCUUUGGCAGCUGUAAAGUUUCUGCUCCUUCAAAGUUCACAACACAAUGAAUGAAUUCCUAAAACACUCUCAAUGCUGGAGAGCGUUUGAUGCUGAAGCAGUGACCAGUUUUUCUGUUUCUUCUCUGGAGAUGCACAAUGAGGGACGUCUGCAGAGACUGAGAAAGAGUCUCACCACAUCCUGACAUGAGGAAAAAGACUUUAUUGAAGACUACAAUGAGAAAAACUAUCAGACAGCAGACGGCUGCAUUCAAGGUGAGCUCUGAACAUUUGAUCUGGAACAGGAAUUCAAUAACAGCAGCAUGAGCUUCAUUUCAGUCUGUAGCUGCUGAAUUCAUGGAUGAAUCAUCUGGCACUAGAGAAGAAGACCAUCAAACAUCCACGUCAGCUGAUGGAGGUCCAAGAGUCUCACCAAACAACCAACCUACAGAGUGAAGACCUCAAAUCUGAUUGGACGGCCUCCUAUUCAGCCACGUGUGAACAAAUGCCUCUAAGCUGAUUUGUUUUCUAAAAUAAAUCUAGUUUGUGUCCUAA